AGGGUUAGGGUUAGAGGAUGGAGCUGCUAUAAGGAGUUGCUGUGCUGUGAGUCUCCUCUGCUGUUCCCAGAGAGUCAGCGAAAAUGUCGCUUCUGCUCCGACUCGACAGUCAGCAAAGCCUGUCACCUGCCGUCCGUGUGGGUGUAACAGUGGAGACAGCGGGGGGAUGCCUGUGUGGUUGGUCAUUACUGUACCUUCCUGACAGGAGAGUCCGAUCCAGCUGUGCAUGCAGCUGCAGCGGCCGUUGCGUCGGUCGCACUGCGCUCCGUUGGCGCACUCGCAGGUCUGAGCGCAGUCCGGCCCGAACCUGUUCGCCCUGCAGUCUGACACAAAACCACAAGAGACGAGUUGAAUUAAACUACACCUGCUGCACACCAGUACACCAAGAUUUACACAAACAGUUUAGUUUAGACUAAACUGCCUUCACCGGUGUCACGGCUGACGGCUGACGGCUAACGAUAAAACACAACGAGUGCUGGUCGUCUGCUGCUGGCAAGAGUAUCGAUAUUUGUCUGUUACAGACAAUAACUGAAACCUGAAACGGCCUCUCGACGCCGCUCUGAUGAGGAAAGUCAGCCGUCUCUGGUCUGGACUUCAUGCUGUGUGUGCGCUAAAAGUUAGAAGGAGGUCUGAGGAUUACCGAUGUCACAUCUGGGUCCAGUCUUCCCCGAGGAGCAGAGGCAUCUUCCCGUCACAGGGUCGCACAGAGCGUCGUCCGCACAGUCACACGCUUUGGCGCAGCCCGGACCAAAGGUUCCCUGUUCGCACACUGAGCAGGACAUUCAGUCAAAGGAGGAAUCAGACACAAACUCUCAGUCAUCCUGUUGUCAGUCUGGACUUAUCAGCAGUGAUUUGACUGACCUCUGUGGCAGCGGGUUCCGUAGUAUCCCGGAGGACAGAUGCAGUGGCCCGACACAGGGUGGCAGGACGCUCCGUUCAUACAGUCACACUGCAGCUGGCACAGCGGGCCGUGGAGACCAGGAGGACAGGCUGAGGACGAGGGAGUCAGGGAACAAGAUGUUUACAAUGUUCUCACUGGAUUUUCACUUUGACUCCUCAAAAGUACACACUUUAGUUCAAAGAUACAUUUCUGCUUCUUUAUUUAGACCAAGUCUGUGUAUGUCUGCAUGUGCUAACGUAAGAAAUCUGGGGAUAAAAACAUGAAUAUAUUUCUGAAAAGAAGGUAAUGAUAGUAAACUCUGUUGGCAGAUCAUUAGUCUGGCUUUGUUGUAUCACCAUGAUGUUAAUUCAUUCAUUUUUUAAGGAUAAAGCUGAAGGUAUUUAUAUUUUCCUUAUUGUUAAAUCUCGUAAAAGACCUGUGGCAGUCAACUAAAAGCUAAUUUAAACCUGCCAGAUUCAAGUUGAACUCUUCAAUCCUAUAUAGAUCAUUUCUGGGCUGUAAUUUAGAGCAAAUUUGAAUAAUAAAAGUUGUUAAAUGUUAAAAGGGAUAGUUCCAUUAUUUUUGACUCCGGAUCACGUUUUUGUGUUAAGUAAUUAUUAACAAACGUCUGUGCACACGUCCACAACAAAGCUGUUCACCAAAGUGGUUUGUUUUGUCACUGACAGGCUCAGGUUGUUAUAAUAAUUAUCUUAUAACAUUAUGGAUAGGAUUCCUACAGACAUAGACUUUUUUAUCUCAACCAAACUGCAUUGACAAAAACGGACAUUUAAGCAGAACACAGGAGCUGCAGAUUUGGUGCUUCAGUAGGAAUUUUGCAGCAGCCAUGUGAAUGAUAUCAGCAUGUGAUGAAUAUUUACAGCAGCAGGACGCUGUAUGAGGGAACAACUCAGUAUAAACUACAGGGUCUGUGUUCGUCAUACUGAAGGAACAUGUCAGUGCAACAGAGAAACUAGUUUUUAAUGUUUACUGUUUUUAAUAAAAUAUAAGCUAUUGUCAUGGGUUCAA